UACGGGGGGGGCGAGUGUUACUCAUCAUGACUAGGCGUAAAGGGUGUUAAGAUCGCUAGGGGUUGUCUUAAUUGAAAAUUCAGUUGAACUAUUGAAAAGUAUUAUAAUAAACAACUUAGCUGGGGUAGUUUGGAGAAUGGAAUUACUAAUUUUUAAGGGGUAGAAUCCAACGAGAGAAUUAAGAGAAACAAAGGCGAAAGCAACCAUUUAUAAUCGACCAACAUUGAUACACUAAAGCGUGGGGAGCAAACAGG
rnacentral:rRNA from 1 species